CACGUAGGGUGCGAGCGUUGUCCGGAAUUAUUGGGCGUAAAGAGCUCGUAGGCGGUGUGUCACGUCGGUCGUGAAAACCUGGGGCUUAACUCUGGGCUUGCGGUCGAUACGGGCAUCACUUGAGUUCGGCAGGGGAGACUGGAAUUCCUGGUGUAGCGGUGAAAUGCGCAGAUAUCAGGAGGAACACCAGUGGCGAAGGCGGCGACCUGGGCCUGUGCUGACGCUGAGGCGCGAAAGCGUGGGGAGCGAUCCGG
rnacentral:rRNA from 1 species